GAUUAUAUAUUUUAUUUAUUUAUCUAAAUACGAGAAUCGAGAUUUCAAAGCAAAUGGCUUUAAGCGGUCAACAGUGGACUUUAAAAAAAGUUGUACCCAUAGCCACCGGUAUUCUACUUGUCCUGUGUUUUAGUUUGGGUCCAAAACUAUCGAAAUGUCUCGCAACGCACUGCCUUCGUUGAGUCAGCUGGAAGAGCUAGUAAGCUUUUUGGAAAGCAAACCUUGUUUGAUUAUGGUGGGCCAUGAUCGUACUGCAAAUGCGAGCAGUCAUCAGGCAUGAUCCGAAAACAACAGCCCUAAACAGUGAAGUAGUGGGUGUAUGAAAAUAUUGGGGCAGUGGUGUAAGUACUGGAAGGACAAAAAGGAGCAGUUCAGAGGAAGUCCAGUUCAAUUGCAGCUGCGAGGCAACAUGAAGAAUUUGCCAGAACUCGGUGUAAUCAAGUUAAAAAUACAUUCCAUUAUGCGAGGAGAAUGUAUUGGAAUCUGAAUUUAGAAAUAAAUGCAUGUUCAUUAUAAAAUACAAAAUAAUAAAAAGACAUGUUGAAUUAAAAUAUUGUUUUAUUAAUUCAUGAUAAUAGAAAAGUUAGGUAUUUUUAUAAAAAUUACUUUGAUACCUGCACACUAUUGUGUAAUGUUAAAAAUGUUUAUAUUACUAUUUAACAUACACAGGUAAAAUACAUAUGUAUUGUUAGAAGGUGUCUACAUAGUGUUGUUUAUAAAAUAACUUCUAGCAUGACAUCCACUGUCCAAGUCACUGCUAGAGUCCAG